GACUGUAUGACGGCAUCACGAGAACUAAACUGUCUCCCCCCUCUAAUCAGUGAAACUGAUCUCCCCGUGCAGAAGCGGGGGUAAAAUCAUAAGACGAGAAGACCCUGUGGAGCUUAAAAUCAAAUACCAACUGUCGGUACUUAAAAACACUAAUACAGUUAUGGCUUAGAUUUUCAGCUGGGGUGCCUGCGGAGUAAAAACUACCCUCCGCGAAGAAUUUGCCAAGAACAACCACUCUAAGCAUUUAUAAAUUUUACUUAAUUGAUCCAAAUUUUUGAUCAACGGACCAAGUUACCCCAGGGAUAACAGCGCAAUCCACUUUUAGAGGCCCUAUCGACAAGUGGGCUUACGACCUCGAUGUUGGAUCAGGGCAUCCAAGUGGUGCAGCCAUUACUAAAGGUUCGUUUGUUCAACGAUUAAAGCCCUACGUGAUCUGAGUUCAGACCGGA
rnacentral:rRNA from 1 species